GUCCUAGUAGUUUUAAACACCAAAACAUUGGUCUUGUAAACCAACAAUAGGGGCACCCCUCUAGGACA